CCUCCUUUUCUUGCGGGGCCGGGCCUGAGAUCCGCUCCCCACCGUGUGCAGAAAAGGGCUCCAGUCCCCUUGGCGACACGUCUUCCGUGCCAGCUGCUUCCCAUUCGCCAGUUCUGUCCUCGAGCAGUGAGACAGGG